GAAGGGGUGUAUUUAUUAGAUAAAAAACCAACGCCCUUCGGGGCUUCUUGGUGAUUCAUGAUAACUUCACGGAUCGCAUGGCCUUGCGCCGGCGACGGUUCAUUCAAAUUUCUGCCCUAUCAACUUUCGAUGGUAAGGUAUUGGCUUACCAUGGUUUCAACGGGUAACGGGGAAUUAGGGUUCGAUUCCGGAGAGGGAGCCUGAGAAACGGCUACCACAUCCAAGGAAGGCAGCAGGCGCGCAAAUUACCCAAUCCCGACACGGGGAGGUAGUGACAAUAAAUACUGAUACAGGGCUCUUUUGGGUCUUGUAAUUGGAAUGAGUACAAUUUAAACCUCUUAACGAGGAACAAUUGGAGGGCAAGUCUGGUGCCAGCAGCCGCGGUAAUUCCAGCUCCAAUAGCGUAUAUUAAAGUUGUUGCAGUUAAAAAGCUCGUAGUUGAAACUUGGGCCUGGCUGGCAGGUCCGCCUCACCGCGUGUACUUGUCCGGCCGGGC
rnacentral:rRNA from 1 species